AUUGAACGCUGGUGGCAGACUUAACACAUGCAAGUCGAGCGGAGAUGAGGUGCUUGCACCUUAUCUUAGCGGCGGACGGGUGAGUAAUGCUUAGGAAUCUGCCUAUUAGUGGGGGACAACAUUCCGAAAGGAAUGCUAAUACCGCAUACGCCCUACGGGGGAAAGCAGGGGAUCUUCGGACCUUGCGCUAAUAGAUGAGCCUAAGUCGGAUUAGCUAGUUGGUGGGGCAAAGGCCUACCAAGGCGCCGAUCUGUAGCGGGUCUGAGAGGAUGCUCCGCCACACGGGGACUGAGACACGGCCCAGACUCCUACGGGAGGCAGCAGUGGGGAAUAUUGGACAAUGGGCGGAAGCCUGAUCCAGCCAUGCCGCGUGUGUGAAGAAGGCCUUUUGGUUGUAAAGCACUUUAAGCGAGGAGGAGGCUACCUGGAUUAAUACUCUAGGAUAGUGGACGUUACUCGCAGAAUAAGCACCGGCUAACUCUGUGCCAGCCGCCGCCGUAA
rnacentral:rRNA from 1 species